UACGGAGGGAGCUAGCGUUGUUCGGAAUUACUGGGCGUAAAGCGCACGUAGGCGGCUUUGUAAGUUAGGGGUGAAAGCCCGGAGCUCAACUCCGGAAUUGCCUUUAAGACUGCAUCACUUGAAUCCGGGAGAGGUGAGUGGAAUUCCGAGUGUAGAGGUGAAAUUCGUAGAUAUUCGGAAGAACACCAGUGGCGAAGGCGGCUCACUGGACCGGUAUUGACGCUGAGGUGCGAAAGCGUGGGGAGCAAACAGG
rnacentral:rRNA from 1 species